rnacentral:tRNA from 1 species
AUUGGAAAGCGAAUAAUUGCAUUUAGUUUCGACCUAAAAUUUAGACCUAUAGUCUUCUAAUU